UACGUAGGUGGCAAGCGUUGUCCGGAAUUAUUGGGCGUAAAGCGCGCGCAGGCGGUCCUUUAAGUCUGAUGUGAAAGCCCACGGCUCAACCGUGGAGGGUCAUUGGAAACUGGGGGACUUGAGUGCAGAAGAGGAAAGCGGAAUUCCACGUGUAGCGGUGAAAUGCGUAGAGAUGUGGAGGAACACCAGUGGCGAAGGCGGCUUUCUGGUCUGUAACUGACGCUGAGGCGCGAAAGCGUGGGGAGCGAACGGG
rnacentral:rRNA from 1 species